rnacentral:sRNA from 1 species
GGACCUGAGAAAGAUUAAGCUGCAGGCUCCCUGCCCAUAAAACAGGGUGUGAAAGGCAUCUCAGCGGCUGCCCCACCAUGGCUACCUGGGCCCUCCUGCUCCUUGCAGCCACGCUCCUGGGCAACCCAGGUAAGGCCUUCCCCUCGGGAUCGAUCCUGAUGGCCCACCCAGCCUCGCACUCUCAGGCCGGCUGAACCUGGAGCAUGGACUCUGUGGGCACCCAGGUGCCCCUGCCUCCCCCCGGCCUUCUCCCCCGUCAUGGAGGCCUGGCCUUCCCCUCAGAGCCAGGCUUAGCCCAGUGUGCUGCCCAGCCUGUCACUGGCCUGGCCAACGUGGAGAGACAGGCCAGGGAUUCUGGUCCUAACUCUACUGGCCACGCUGUGUGGCCUGAGACCCCCCUUUCCCUCCCAAGCCCCUGCCUCCGCAUCUGCGUGGUGAAGGCCAUUGGCCCUCAUCAGUGGAUCUGCGUUUCCUCGGGCCUACACUGUCUAGGAUUGUGCAGGGCUGGUGAGAGAACAAGAUCUCUUCCGUGUUCAAGGCAGACUUCCCGCCCCCCGCACUCUGCUCUCUCCCAGGCCUUGGGGUCAGUGUGAGCCCCAAGGGCAAGAACACUUCUGGAAGGGAGAGUGGAUUUGGCUGGGCCAUCUGGAUGGAAGGUAAAAAAAGAAAAUCCCUUGAAAGGAGAUUGAGGGAAGUUUCUAGACAAACCGACCCCCAAAUCUGUGUUGCUGGGGGAACAGAGGAGAAGAGAGAGUCUCGCCCUCCUGGCUUUCUAGAAGGAACGUGAGAACACGUGUUUGUGCUGAGAGUGGGUCAGAGCGGCUCCAGGGCAAAGCAUGUGGACAGGUAUCCUGGCCCCCUGCAAGGCCCAGCUCCUGUCCUAGGCCCUGGUCACCUCCUGGACUCCCACCAGCCAGGAGAACGGGCUUUCCCUCUCCUUCCGCCUGCGGAGGGGAAGCUGAAGUCUGGUCUUCCUCAGGUCUGGUCUUCUCUCGUCUGAGCCCUGAGUACUACGACCUGGCAAGAGCCCACCUGCGUGAUGAGGAGAAAUCCUGCCCGUGCCUGGCCCAGGAGGGCCCCCAGGGUGACCUGUUGACCAAAACACAGGAGCUGGGCCGUAACUACAGGACCUGUCUGAUGAUAAUCCAAAGACUGAAGGAUAUGGUGGAGGAUCAGCCCACCCAGCAUCCUGGCACUGCAGGCUCACACUUAGCCCUGGAUACUCAGAUUCAUCCUCCUCCCCUGGGAUGGCAUAGAAGAGACUUUAAAACCAAAUGAGUCAAGACUCCAAGCUCUGACCACACCUCCCACCCCCACCAGUCUUCUCUAUGCACCCCCUCUAUCUGGAGCCCCCAGCCAGGUCCUGGACCCAGGUAGCUACAUGGCAGAGCAUUUAAUGUGUGCCUGGCAGCCAUGGGCACCAUUCUCCACACAGAAGGCAGGGGACAGGUGCACAAGGGGCUGAGACCCCAGCAGGGCUAACUGUCCUUGUCUCAGGAGCCCUACCUGGCCAGUCUUGGGCCAGGCCUUGGGGACUGGGAGUAGGGGCUGAGCCCCGUCUCUACAGUCUCUGGCCCCAUGGGCACCAGGUGCCAGCUCCUCGCACCCAGUACUCCCAUUGCUAGGGCUGCUGGAACCUGCAGGGUGGCAGAGCUGGGCAGGACUCACCCUAUAACCAUGUCCACUGUGGUGCUGCUGCUGCAGAGAAGUGUGUCCAAUGCUGCGACCCGGAUGUGUAGGACGGGGAGGUCACAAUGGCGCGACGUCUGCAGAAAUUUCAUGAGGAGGUAUCAGUCUAGAGUUACCCAGGGCCUCGUGGCCGGAGAAACUGCCCAGCAGAUCUGUGAGGACCUCAGGUUGUGUAUACCUUCUACAGGUCCCCUCUGAGCCCUCUCACCUUGUCCUGUGGAAGAAGCACAGGCUCCUGUCCUCAGAUCCCGGGAACCUCAGCAACCUCUGCCGGCUCCUCGCUUCCUCGAUCCAGAAUCCACUCUCCAGUCUCCCUCCCCUGACUCCCUCUGCUGUCCUCCCCUCUCAGGAGAAUAAAGUGUCAAGCAAGA